UUUUGGCAGUAAGUGACAGAAUUUUCGGGGGUCUCAAAUACGGAAUUAGCAGGGAUGCUGAGCUCUAGUUUACCCCUCUGCAGGGAAGGAAGAUCUCAGCUGGGAUCUUAGGUAUUUGGCCUAUAGGGAAGGAGAAUUCCCACAGGGCUGCCUCUAGUCCAGAGGAAAACCAUGAGCACAGAGUUUUCACAAAAGUCAUUGUGUCUGGUCACACAGCAGACCUAGACAGGCUGGAUGCCAUAAUACUGAAUUUAUACUGAAGGGCAACAGUGUAUCAGAGGAGAAAAGUAAUUUUCUCCAAACUCCCAUCUCCCUGGGAAGACAAGUCAGGCUGAACCCCAAAGCUCUAGACUUCGCAGGUGGAAUUCUGUGCCGGCUGCCCAUGGUGGCAGACUGGAAGGCAAGUGGGAAGGGAGGGUUGCAGUGGCUUACACCUUGCUGCUCUUCACCCCCUCAGUUUCACUCACAUUAACUGGCUUGGAGACUUGCCUCACGGCAAUUCUUGAAAACUCCUUAAAUUAAUCACGAAGUGUCUUCUGAGUUGCUGCAGUGUGAGUACUCCCUGCACACAAGUCCAAGACCCACCACGGGCUGGUAAACUUACCCACGCCUGACCCUGACCUCUCACUGCCUCAGGCAAGGAGCCUCCCCAUUAACUUGACAUUGUAGUUUGAUGAGAAUGUUCAGAACUAACACAUUUUCUGUUGUUUUGGCAGAAGACUUAAGUCAUGCUUUCUUUAAAUAAAUAAAUAAGUAGAAAUAAAAUCAUGCUUUCUUUGACUUGAGUGCAGCAGAUACACUCUAAGAAGUUUGCGUGCGGUCUUUGGGUUUUGAGAAUUCAGUCAAUUUUUGGACUCUGUUUGGGUGGAGUCGAAACUAAUGCCCACAUAGUUUCUAGUGGCCCAGCAUUUCUGCCCAGACCUAGGAGGUGGUUGUCAUUUCUUUACUAGAUGCCUCCACAGCCUGUCUAAGAAAAGCUAUCAUCGGUGGUACCCCAGCCAUUUCGUGUAGCCAAAAGAAUGAUUUUUUUUUUCUCCUAGGAGGCCGGAAAGUAGCAAGAGAAUGAGUUAGUAGUGGGAAUUAUGUCAAGGAAAAUUGUGCACCCUUCCUCCUUGUGGACCAGCAGCACAUGAACAGGAAGCGACACCAUCCGGAACCACCAGGAGAGACGGAGUGAGACCCCAGACCGCCAAGCAUCAAGCCUCUAGAGCAGUCUUCCUUAGGACAACUCACCAUUAUUUGAAGAACUUCAGUCAGAUGUCUCUUUGCCCCAAAGAGUUUAGCCUAAAUACUUUUCACCUCAGUGUCUCUUGGGUCAAGUCUUAGCAUCCACCUCAGAAGCCUGGUACUGCUGAGACACAGCACCACCCCCAUAUCUGGUCGUCUUUCCCAGGUGAAUGAAAACAAGAGUUUUUGGAUUAAUGGAAGAAAUCACCUGUUAAGCUUUGUUCUUCAAUCUCCUGCCCAUUACCAUAACCCCUUUAAUUUUUCUUCUAAGUAGACAGUCCAUGUUAAUGAAAUGUGCUUUUGGCUGAGUUGGGGAAUUCAGAGUUAGGGUUUCUACAUUGGUGACCAGUCAACCCUACUGCAUGUGCAUCUUCAAGCCUCAAAGUUUUCAUGUGAACAAGAACAGCCUCCUGGUCCCAGGGUGGUGGUUAUAAAGUUUACUCUGAGGACAAAGGCCUUGAUUCACAGAUACUUUUUCCUGAGUGACAGUCACUAAGUACCCUUAAUGAGGAUUUUGGUGGUUCUCAAGCUGCCUGAAAGUGAAUUUGGCUCCAGUCCCUGAAGGGCAGGCUUGCAUCCGCAUCAAGCAGCUUGGUCCGAGGUAGUUGCCCAGGGCCCAUACUGGCUUUGCAGACAUCCUCCUUUGUGUGCAGCAUGGAGCCAGGAGUACCAAAUGGACUUCAGUUGAACACUUCAGGCUUCUGACAGCAUUUCCACCCCACAGUAUUGGUGUUUGUUUGCAUAUCUUUCUCUUGCCAGAAAUUUGCUUUGGGAGAGUUAACGCAAACAGCAUUAUGGUGUCUUUUUCAUAUUACAAUUACAGAUUUAUAGAACGCGUGUAAACUUGGAACCUGACCUCAGACCUGCAGGGGUAAAUAAGAGGGCAAGUUGGGGAAGUUCCUGUUGUGGCUCUUCGGAAAUGACUGACUAGCAUUCCUGAGGAUGCAGGUUUGAUUCCUGGCCUUGCUCAGUGGGUUAAGGAUCUGGCGUUGCCAUGAGUUGUGUAGGUUACAGAUAUGGCUCAGAACCGGUGUUGCUGUGGCUCUGACGUAGGCUGGCAGCUACAGCUCUGAUUCUAUGCCUAACCUGGGAACCUCCAUAUGCCACGGAUGCAGCCCUAAAAAGACAAAAGAAGAAGAAAGAAGGAGUGUGGACCCCGUAUCCCUCAGCUGGUGCCUGCCUACUGGCCCAUCCUGCCUGGCCAAACCAGAGGUAGAAGUAAAAGGUACUGGUGCUGUGAAGAGAGAAGAAUCAUACAACUAGUCAGGAUUUGGAAAACACCAUAACAUUAUAGUCACUUAAGAAGGAACAGAAAAAUGCACCAUAUUGGUGUUGAAGGAAAAGUAAGGAAAACCCCAAGCAGGUUAAAACAACACUCAGAAGAAGAAUCAAAUGCAACAACAUUGCAGGUACUUUGAAGAAAACUCCAGGAUUGUCAUGAUGAAGAGGUCCUAGUAAUGCUACCGGAAAGAAACUCAUUAAAGAGGCAGGUAAAUAGAAUUCAAAGUAAACAUCAUCCUGCUGUGUAGCACAGGGAACUAUAUCUAGUCACUUACGAUGGAACACGAUGGAUGAUAAUGUGAGCAAAAGAAUGUCUGUAUAUAUGUAUGACUGGGUCAGUUUGCUAUACAGCAGAAAUUGACAGAACAUUGUAAAUCAACUAUAAUAGAAAAAAGAAAAA
rnacentral:lncRNA from 9 species